rnacentral:rRNA from 1 species
CACGUAGGCACCAAGCGUUGUCCGGAUUCAUUGGGCGUAAAGGGUGCGUAGGUGGCAGGGUAAGUCGGAUGUGAAAUCCCGGGGCUCAACCUCGGAACUGCAUUCGAUACUGCUUUGCUUGAGUACUGGAGAGGAGAUUGGAAUUUACGGUGUAGCAGUGAAAUGCGUAGAUAUCGUAAGGAAGACCAGUGGCGAAGGCGGAUCUCUGGACAGUUACUGACACUGAGGCACGAAGGCCAGGGGAGCAAACGGG